rnacentral:rRNA from 1 species
CCAGCAGCCGCGGUAAUUCCAGCUCCAAUAGCGUAUAUUAAUGUUGUUGCAGUUAAAAAGCUCGUAGUUGGAUUUCGGGAUGAUCUCACGCGUCCGGCGAAUGCUGUGUAUGUGCUGGGUCAUUCUUCCUUCUGGAGGCCUAUUCUGUACUUAACUGUGCGGGGUAGGAAUUCAGGACUUUUACUUUGAAAAAAUCAGAGUGUUCAAAGCAGGCAAUUGCUUGAAUACAUUAGCAUGGAAUAAUGGAAUAGGACUUUGGUCUUAUUUUGUUGGUUUCUAGGACCGAAGUAAUGAUUAAUAGGGAUAGUUGGGGGCAUUCAUAUUUAAUUGUCAGAGGUGAAAUU